GGGGAAAAAUGUGCUUUUUUUUUUUUUUUUUGCAUUUCUAACUAGGGGCAGAACAGAUGGUGACGGUAAAGUUUAAAACAACACAUCCGUUAAACUCUGCCAGCCUCUCUCUGCAGCUUGCCAGGAGGGAAACAACUUGGAGGCAGAGCUCCUGCUGCUGCUGUUGUUCACCAACGAGUGAGAAUAUGAACCGAGGGCAUUAAUAGGAGGCCCAGAGAACUGGGGUCACAAAAGUCGCCCCACUUGACACUCCUCCUCCUCCUCCUUGGGAACAUGUUUCAACCAUGAAGCACGUGCAGUUCAUUUGCACCAGAACCAGACGAAAGAUCUCUGAAUCCGGACUCCUUCCUAAAUACCUUGUUUUCCCAAGUCAUCUUGUUCUAAGACCGUGAACCUUUGCUUGCGUUAUCUGAGCUGACUUCUAACAGCCGGAAACUUCAAAGAGGAAUAUCUUCCAGGAAGAAAAGGUUUCUCUUUCCGAUGUCACGAGAGGCAAGUUCUCUGAAAGUACUGCAUUUCCCCACCUCAGGGAAAUCAACUUGCGAAGGGAAAUUGAAGCCAAAGGAGGGGCACCUUAUUAAGAAAAUAACUGCUUUGGAUAAGGCUGUAAAUGAUUUUGUGCCCGUCUCCACUGAUCGACUGAAGCUUUGUGCUCAAGGGAAUGUGCCUCUCUCUACCUAAAGAUGGAUUAUUGAUGACGACGAUUGAUGGUGAUGAUUAACGAUAGGGAUGAUGAUGGCUGAGGGUGACGAUACAGGGUGAUUAAUGAUGGUGACAAUUGAGGAUGGUGAUUGAGGGUGAUGACUGAUGAUGAUGUUCGUGAUUGUGAUGAUUAAUGGUAACGAUUACGAUGAUUAGUGAUAAUGAUUGAGGAUGGUGAUGGAUGAUGAUUUGAGGGUGAUCACUGAUGAUGAUUGAGGGUGAUGACUGAUGAUGAUAUGAAUUAUUGGGAUGAUUAAUGAUAAUGGUCAUGUUUGAUGAUGAUUAAUGGUGACGAUUGAGGGUGACUGUCGAUGAUGAUGAUGACAAUGAUUAGAACAGGCAGAUUCAAGGCCAGUUGGGAAGUUGGGAAGCAGCCUGGCCUAGAGAAUAAGAGGACAUAGGUUCUAAUCCCAGCCACUUGUCUUCUGAGUUACCUUGGGCAAGUCGUUUAACUACUCUGUGCCGCAGUUUCCUUACCUGUAAAAUGGGGAUUAAAACUGUGAGCCCCGCAUGGGACGGGGACUCUGUCCAACUUGAUCUUGUAGGUAUCCCAGCCCUUAGAACGGUGCUUGACACCUAGUAAGUGCUUCACAAAUACCAUUAUAAAUUCACGAGAGCCUGCAGUGACGUGGCCC
rnacentral:lncRNA from 1 species